GGCUUUUUAGUAUAUUUUGGUAUUUUUGUCUUCCAAACAAAAGGGUUUUGAGCUA
rnacentral:tRNA from 1 species